rnacentral:rRNA from 1 species
AGCAGCCGCGGUAAUUCCAGCUCCAAUAGCGUAUAUUAAAGUUGUUGCAGUUAAAAAGCUCGUAGUUGAAUUUCGGGAUCAAUAUGUUGGUCGUGCCUCGGUACGUACUAGCUUAUUGGUUUCUCCUUUCUGAAGAACCAUGAUGUCAUUUAUUUGGUGUCGUGGGGAAUCAGGACUGUUACUUUGAAAAAAUUAGAGUGUUUAAAGCAGGCUCACGCUUGAAUACAUUAGCAUGGAAUAAUGAAAUAGGACGUUUGAUUCUAUUUUGUUGGUUUUUAGGAUCGACGUAAUGAUUAAUAGGGAUAGUUGGGGGCAUUAGUAUUCAAUUGUCAGAGGUGAAAUUCUUGGAUUUAUUGAAGACUAACUACUGCGAAAGCAUUUGCCAAGGAUGUUUUCAUUAAUCAAGAACGAAAGUUAGGGGAUCGAAGACGAUCAGAUACCGUCGUAGUCUUAACCAUAAACUAUGCCGACUAGGGAUCGGAUGAUGUUAAUUUUUAAUGACUCAUUCGGCGCCUUACGG